AGAGCACACGGAGGAUGCCUAGGCGCUAGGAGCCGAAGAAGGACGUGGCGAACAACGAUACUGCCUCGGGGAGCUGUAAGCAAGCUUCGAUCCGGGGAUGUCCGAAUGGGGAAACCCGGCUGAUAUCAUAGUCAGUCACUACUGCCUGAAUACAUAGGGCAGUCAGAGGCAUACCCAGGGAACUGAAACAUCUAAGUACCUGGAGGAAGAGAAAACAAGAGUGAUUCCGUNGGGAGCCAGCCGCCGAAGGUGGGGUAGAUGAUUGGGGUGAAGUCGUAACAAGGUAGCCGUAUCGGAAGGUGCGGCUGGAUCACCUCCUUUCUAUGGAGAAUCGUUCUCUGCAACGAGAACAUUCAAAUAAAGGCUGACCUCAAGGUCGCCAAUCAACUCACUCGUUGGUCAGUUUUGAGAGUUCAACUCUCAAAAAGAAUGUGUUUUGAUCUNCCUGUCCAGGGUGAAGGUGCGGUAACACGCACUGGAGGCCCGAACCCACGUAUGUUGAAAAAUGCGGGGAUGAGGUGGGGGUAGCGGAGAAAUUCCAAUCGAACUCGGAGAUAGCUGGUUCUCCCCGAAAUAGCUUUAGGGCUAGCCUCGGAGUAAAGAGUCGUGGAGGUAGAGCACUGAUUGGGUGCGGGGCCCGCAAGGGUUACCAAGCUCAGUCAAACUCCGAAUGCCAUAGACUUAUAUCCGGGAGUCAGACAGUGAGUGCUAAGAUCCAUUGUCAAGAGGGAAACAGCCCAGACCAUCAGCUAAGGUCCCCAAGUGUGUGUUAAGUGGGAAAGGAUGUGGAGUUGCACAGACAACCAGGAUGUUGGCUUAGAAGCAGCCACCAUUUAAAGAGUGCGUAAUAGCUCACUGGUCGAGUGACUCUGCGCCGAAAAUGUAACGGGGCUAAACACACCACCGAAGCUAUGGCUUGAUGCAUUGCAUCAGGGGUAGGGGAGCGUUGUAUACAGCGUUGAAGGUGUACCGUAAGGAGCGCUGGAGCGUAUACAAGUGAGAAUGCCGGUAUGAGUAACGAAAAGAUCAGUGAGAAUCUGAUCCGCCGAAAGCCCAAGGUUUCCUGAGGAAGGUUCGUCCGCUCAGGGUAAGUCGGGACCUAAGGUGAGGCCGAAAGGCGUAAUCGAAGGACAACAGGUUGAAAUUCCUGUACCACCGUAAACCGUUAUGAACGAUGGGGUGACGCAGGAGGGUAGUGACGCGGACUGAUGGAUGUCCGUCCAAGCAGUGAGGCUGAUGUGUAGGCAAAUCCGCACAUCGAUAAGGCCAGGCUGUGAUGGGGAGUGAAAAUUGUAGUAGCGAAGGUCAUGAUCUCACACUGCCAAGAAAAGCCUCUAGUCAGGUGAAGGUGCCCGUACCGCAAACCGACACAGGUAGGCGAGAAGAGAAUUCUAAGGCGCGCGGAAGAACUCUCGUUAAGGAACUCGGCAAAAUGACCCCGUAACUUCGGGAGAAGGGGUGCCCCGGUAGUGUGAAUAGCACGAGGGGGCCGCAGUGAAUAGGCCCAAGCGACUGUUUAACAAAAACACAGGUCUGUGCGAAGCCGUAAGGCGAAGUAUACGGGCUGACGCCUGCCCGGUGCUGGAAGGUUAAGGGGAGUGGUUAGGAGGCAACUCCGAAGCUAUGAACCGAAGCCCCAGUAAACGGCGGCCGUAACUAUAACGGUCCUAAGGUAGCGAAAUUCCUUGUCAGGUAAAUUCUGACCCGCACGAAUGGCGUAACGAUUUGGGCGCUGUCUCAACGAGAGAUCCGGUGAAAUUUUAAUACCUGUGAAGAUGCAGGUUACCCGCGACAAGACGGAAAGACCCCAUGGAGCUUUACUGCAGCUUGAUAUUGGAUUUGGGUACGAUCUGUACAGGAUAGGUGGGAGCCUAGGAAACAGGAGCGCAAGCUUCUGUGGAGGCGCCGUUGGGAUACCACCCUGAUCGUAUCUAGGUUCUAACCUAGUGCCGUGAUCCGGUACGGGGACAGUGUCUGGUAGGCAGUUUGACUGGGGCGGUCGCCUCCUAAAGAGUAACGGAGGCGCCCCAAGGUUCCCUCAGAAUGGUUGGAAAUCAUUCGAAGAGUGCAAAGGCAGAAGGGAGCUUGACUGCGAGACCUACAAGUCGAGCAGGGACGAAAGUCGGGCUUAGUGAUCCGGUGGUACCGCAUGGAAGGGCCAUCGCUCAACGGAUAAAAGCUACCCUGGGGAUAACAGGCUUAUCUCCCCCAAGAGUCCACAUCGACGGGGAGGUUUGGCACCUCGAUGUCGGCUCAUCGCAUCCUGGGGCUGAAGUAGGUCCCAAGGGUUGGGCUGUUCGCCCAUUAAAGCGGUACGCGAGCUGGGUUCAGAACGUCGUGAGACAGUUCGGUCCCUAUCUGUCGUGGGCGUAGGAAAUUUGAGAGGAGCUGUCCUUAGUACGAGAGGACCGGGAUGGACGUACCGCUGGUGUACCAGUUGUUCCGCCAGGAGCACAGCUGGGUAGCUACGUACGGACGGGAUAAGCGCUGAAAGCAUCUAAGCGUGAAGCCCCCCUCAAGAUGAGAUUUCCCAAUUUAGUAAGACCCCUUGA
rnacentral:rRNA from 1 species